ACUCAAAUGAAUAGACGGGGGCCCGCACAAGCAGUGGAGUAUGUGGUUUAAUUCGAAGCAACGCGAAGAACCUUACCAGGGCUUGACAUCCCUCGAAUCAUGCGGAAACGUAUGAGUCCUUCGGGACGAGGAGACAGGUGGUGCAUGGUUGUCGUCAGCUCGUGUCGUGAGAUGUUGGGUUAAGUCCCGCAACGAGCGCAACCCUUGUUGUUAGUUGCCAUCAUUAAGUUGGGCACUCUAACGAGACUGCCGGUGAUAAAUCGGAGGAAGGUGGGGACGACGUCAAAUCAUCAUGCCCCUUAUGCUCUGGGCUACACACGUACUACAAUGGCUGUUACAGAGGGACGCGAAGUCGCAAGGCGGAGCAAAUCCCCAAAAACAGUCUCAGUUCAGAUUGUGGGCUGAAACCCGCCCACAUGAAGUCGGAAUUGCUAGUAAUUGCAGGUCAGCAUACUGCAGUGAAUACGUUCCCGGGCCUUGUACACACCGCCCGU
rnacentral:rRNA from 1 species